rnacentral:rRNA from 1 species
UACGAAGGGGCUAGCGUUGUUCGGACUUACUGGGCGUAAAGCGCACGUAGGCGGAUCGUUAAGUCGGGGGUGAAAUCCUGGAGCUCAACUCCAGAACUGCCUUCGAUACUGGCGAUCUUGAGUCCGGAAGAGGUGAGUGGAACUCCUAGUGUAGAGGUGGAAUUCGUAGAUAUUCGGAAGAACACCAGUGGCGAAGGCGGCUCACUGGACUGGUAUUGACGCUGAGGUGCGAAAGCGUGGGGAGCAAACAGG